AAUGUUCGCAACCUUGAUGAGGAGCACACAUCGAGUGCACCUGCUCUAGCUAUAAAGUCCUGCCUGCACGAUCGAGACACCAUUCCUCGCUCGUACUUAUUCAAACCACCAUGAAGUUCGCCCUUGUGUCGGUACUCGUCCUCCUACUCGGUCUAAGCGUCGUCUUCGCUCAACCUACAGCCAACUCGAGAAGCCCCGUGGUUGCAAUCCUGGCAAGAGUUGUAGGACCUUAUACGGCCCAGAAUAUCGUGAGCCUGAUCAACCGACUACCUUUUGGGGCCGGCCCAGCGAUCAUCACGGCACUGGAUAGAGCAUUUCAAUCAGUCCGAGGGACAGGUUGAUAGGUCUGUCCCUCGAUCUCCGUGGGAACUGCGGCUGGAUGCCAAUGGCGGAGAUGACUUCCUGAAUCAGUGGAAAUCGCUAUAAUACCGUGGGGUGAUACAGAGGGUCUAUUGGACCUGCGAGUUUCCGUCGAGGCCUUAGUCUCGAUGUGAAUUUCCCGAUAAAGCCGAAGACUUGCUCCACGAUUGCAU